rnacentral:rRNA from 1 species
CAGCCGCCGCGGUAAUACGGAGGGUGCGAGCGUUAAUCGGAUUUACUGGGCGUAAAGCGUGCGUAGGCGGCUUCUUAAGUCGGAUGUGAAAUCCCUGAGCUUAACUUAGGAAUUGCAUUCGAUACUGGGAAGCUAGAGUAUGGGAGAGGAUGGUAGAAUUCCAGGUGUAGCGGUGAAAUGCGUAGAGAUCUGGAGGAAUACCGAUGGCGAAGGCAGCCAUCUGGCCUAAUACUGACGCUGAGGUACGAAAGCAUGGGGAGCAAACAGGAUUAGAUACCCGGGUAGUCCCUGUCUCUUAUAC